UACGAAGGGGGCAAGCGUUGUUCGGAAUUACUGGGCGUAAAGGGCGCGUAGGCGGCUUAUCAAGUCAGGCGUGAAAUUCCCGGGCUCAACCUGGGGGCUGCGCUUGAUACUGAUGAGCUUGAAUGCGGGAGAGGAUAGUGGAAUUCCCAGUGUAGAGGUGAAAUGCGUAGAUAUCUGGAGGAACACCGGUGGCGAAGGCGGCAUCCUGGACCAACACUGACGCUGAGGAGCGAAAGCCAGGGGAGCAAACGGG
rnacentral:rRNA from 1 species